CACGUGACCACUGGGCCAUCCAAAUCAUGGAUGGAGACCGCAGCACAUCUCCCUCCGUAGCGGGGGGAAGUUAAAGAGACAACGGUUAAUGGAAACUUGUCGGGAAAUGCCGUUUAGCUGAAGACUCUUGCCAGCCAAUCAGCGCUCGGAGGAGGCGGGGCUUUUGUGUCAUCACGACCUCAGCAGCAGCGGAGAGCCAAUGAGCCACGACCUCACGUCGCAGCAAGGACAGUGAGACCCACAGACCGGGUUUGCUUCCUUUGACUAACUAACACCACAUACAAGUAAACAUUGGGUUAUAACAUGUAUUGUGUUAAAGAGAAAGUUUAGGAUGUUUUGUAUGUUCAGUACUGAUUACAAUUAAAAGAAGGCAUACAUAAUAUGGCUCUAGAAACAAAACUUAUAUAAAAAUGUAGCCCAGUGACACAAUUUGCCCCAAACAGUGUCAAGGGCUGAGUUGAAUCAUUAGGGUAUAUCUCAUUCCAAAAAGUAAUUUUGAUGAACUUGUUUAAAGUACCAUUUACUUGCAUUAUAAAAACUCACAGAGGUCAAUUAAUACUCAGAUAUUUAAACCGUGAAGAGAAAUCAACAUUUUGUUAUAGUAUCUGUAUUAUUAUUAAUUAUAGAUAAACCACAUCUUUCAAUAACAGGCAGCAGCAUUUAAUGUUGUUUUGUUUUUUCUCUAAAUGUAUGGUCAUAUGACGAAAAUAUGCUAUAUUAAGCAAUAACAUAGCAGAUAUGUAUUUCAGAGGGAGAGGGAACAAGAUUGGAGAGUUUUGCUGAAACGAUCACAACUGGUCUCAGGAGACUCGUGACAUGUUUGUUAAUAUACCAAGAGAAUCCAGAAAGACUGCAGUUAUGAAUUUCUUUGAAUCUGAUUCCAUAGAUUCAAAUUACAGUUGAAAUUCUGCAUUUUGUUUUAAUUCACACUAUUAAACUUAAUUAAAAUUCAAAAGACAUACUUCUCUCAACUGUGAAAGGGCACACAACUCAGCUGGGUUAGAGAAAGACUUAACCGCACUACUUCCACACAAUUAAAUUGCAUUAAGCACAAAAUUAGUUUUUCCAAUUUAGCAGACUUUAGGUAUACCAGUUUAGUAUACCAAAAAUACAAUUGCAGUAUAUAUUUUUUUAUUAAGCACAUAGAAGUAUUUGUAGUAUACUUAGCACAAAACUAAUGCAUUUCAAAUAUAUAUAUAUUUUUUACUAGGGUCUUAUCUAUAUGUUAAACAGGAUAAACAGCUAUUUGUUUGUAGCAACAAAAUCUUAAUGCACC